rnacentral:rRNA from 1 species
CGGCGUGGAUUAGGCAUGCAAGUCGUACGGUGGUUUCCUUUCGGGGAGGCCAUAGUGGCGAAAGGGAGAGUAACGCGUGGUUACAUGCCCUCGAGUCCGGGAUAGCGGCGGGAAACUGCCCGGUAAUACCGGAUAAUAUCUUUGGAUCAAAGGUGUGAUUCCGCUCGAGGAUUGGACCGCGUUCUAUUAGCUUGUUGGCGGGGUAAUGGCCCACCAAGGCGACGAUGGAUACCGGGUGUGAGAGCAUGGCCCGGCUCACUGGGACUGAGACACUGCCCAGACACCUACGGGUGGCUGCAGUCGAGAAUCUUCGGCAAUGGGGGCAACCCUGACCGAGCGACGCCGCGUGCGGGACGAAGGCCUUCGGGUUGUAAACCGCUGUCAGUUGGGAGGAAAUGCUGGGGGGUUCUCCCCUCAGUUUGACCGAUCUUCAGAGGAAGGACGGGCUAAGUUCGUGCCAGCAGCCGCGGUAAGACGAACCGUCCAAACGUUAUUCGGUAUCACUGGGCUUAAAGCGUGCGUAGGCGGCCUAGUAGGUGAGGUGUGAAAUCCCACGGCUCAACCGUGGAACUGCGCUUCAAACCACUAGGCUCGAGGAUGGCAGGGGUGAUGGGAACUGAUGGUGGAGCGGUGAAAUGCGUUGAUAUCAUCAGGAACACCGGUGGCGAAGGCGCAUCACUGGGCCAUUUCUGACGCUGAGGCACGAAAGCUAGGGUAGCGAACGGGAUUAGAUACCCCGGUAGUCCUAGCCGUAAACGAUGAGCACUAGGUCGAGGGGACCUCCACAUCUUCUCGGCCGUAG